rnacentral:misc_RNA from 1 species
UUGUGAUGCUGAAGUUGCCCUUAUCAUCUUCUCUAGUCGUGGCAAGGUUUAUGAAUUUGGUAGUGCUGGUACAACCAAAACCCUUGAGCGGUAUCAACGCUGCUGCUUCACUCCCCAAGAUAACAGCGUUGAACGCGAAACACAGAGCUGGUACCAAGAGGCAACAAAGUUAAAGGCAAAAUAUGAAUCUCUACAACUUACUCAAAGGCAUUUGCUUGGGGAAGAUCUCGGUCCGCUGAGUGUGAAGGAACUGCAAAAUCUUGAGAAGCAGCUUGAAGUAGCUCUUGCACUAGCUAGACAAAGAAAGACACAGAUUAUGAUUGAGCAAAUGGAAGAUCUCCGCAAAAAGGAACGUCACCUUGGAGACUUAAACAAGCAACUCAAAUUUAAGCUGGAAGCAGAAGGACAAAGUCUAGCCAUCCAAGAUCUAUGGAACUGUGGUGCAGCAGAUGGAAACAGCAACUUUGCUUUGCAUGCUUCUCAAUCCAACCCCUUGGACUGUGACCCUGGACCUGUCCUACAAAUAGGGUACCAUCACUUUGUUCAAGCCGAAGGAUCUUCUGUUCCAAGAAGCAUGGCUAGUGAGACUAACUUCAUGCAGGGAUGGGUCCUUUGAACAGUACCUAAUCCUCUAAACUAUAUAUACAUAUAGAUAUGUUUGAUUAAUGUCUAGAUGGUUUUUCUGUUUUGGGAUUUGUCAUAUUUAAAUAUAUACUCUGAUGUGUAAG